AGUCCCGUAGUAAAAUGUUACGUAAGAUUGCAAAUCUUAAAAUGGAGAAAGGCUCUCCCGGGGCUU
rnacentral:tRNA from 1 species